rnacentral:lncRNA from 1 species
UGUGAAGAAUGAAAUAGUGAGUGGCAAAGUGCUUUGGGAGCUGCGAAGGGUGGUGUCAACAUGAGGACAAGGACAGUCAUGGUGGUUCCACUUUACCCCCUUAGAGCUCAGCCUCCUCUGACAAGACAGAUGUGUUGGGUGCCUGAGUGUCCCCUGCCAUUCCAACUUUUGCUGGAUGAGGAGGUCUCUGCGGGCCCACUUAAAAACUUCUGAAGUGGUGUUGAUUUGGACGUACGGCUAGGGACAGAACUGAGAAAUGCCUGGACUUGGAGGUGAAGAGAGAUGAGGGGAGGGGUAACUGCUACUUGAUGACAGCCUCGGCACCCCUGAAGGAAGGCCCUUUGCUGUGAACUCUCCAGUCUCUCCUCCUCAACUGACAGCACAAAAACUGUCCACAAGGAGUGACUGCUAAACGCACAGGUAUAGGACGGAAGUAUAUAUUUUAGGGGACUUAUCUUUGUAGUGGCUUUGUUGUAACUCCGAGAUGGUGGAAUUAGCUCAAAUAAAGGAUGCAGAAAGCCUGAGCUCCGGCCA